rnacentral:rRNA from 1 species
AUUGAACGCUGGCGGCGUGCCUAAUACAUGCAAGUAGAACGCAGUUGCGAACGGGUGAGUACCGCGUAGGUAACUGCCUCAUAGCGGGGGAUAACUAUUGGAAACGAUAUCUAAUACCUCCUCCUGUGAGCUGUACCUGCUUUGUAUUAGCUAGUUGGUGAGGUAAAGGCUCACCAAGGCGACGAUACAUAGCCGACCUGAGAGGGGGAUCGGCCACACUGGGACUGAGACACUGCCCAGACUCCUACGGGAGGCAGCAGUAGGGAAUCUUCGGCAAUGGACGGAAGUCUGACCGAGCAACGCCGCGGGAGUGAAGAAGGUUUUCGGAUCGUAAAGCUCUGUUGUUAGAGAAGCGGUAACUAAAGAGAAAGGGACGGCUAACUACGUGCCAGCAGCCGCGGUAAUAG